rnacentral:pre_miRNA from 1 species
UGUUAAAAAAUUAAUUCAUUUCUACUAUUGAAAAUUAGCAUGACUAACAGAAUAACUAAACAGUGAUCGUGAUGUGCCACAUGUACCGUAAUGCUAACGUACAUGAACCAAUUUUUAAUAGUAAAAAUUUAUAAAAAUUUUAACA